GACCUGACGUUAAGGCGCNAAAGCGUGGGAAGCGAACGGGAUUAGAUACCCCGGUAGUCCACCCCGUAAACGAUGGUCACUAGGUGUGUGUGGUAUCGACCCCGCACGUCCGCAGCUAACGCAAUAAGUGACCCGCCUGGGGAGUACGGCCGCAAGGUUGAAACUCAAAGAAUUGACGGGGGCCCGCACAAGCGGUGGAGCAUGUGGAUUAAUACGUCACUAACCGUAGAACCUUACCCAGGCUUGACAUCUGUGGAACUGCCCUGAAAGGGGUGGGUGCCUCGCAAGAGGAGCCGCAAGACAGGUGUUGCAUGGCUGUCGUCAGCUCGUGUCGUGAGAUGUUGGGUUAAGUCCCGCAACGAGCGCAACCCUCACCGUAUGUUGCCAGCGUAAAGUCGGGCACUCUUACGGAACUGCCCGGGUAACCGGGAGGAAGGUGGGGAUGACGUCAAGUCAGCAUGGCCCUUACGCCUGGGGCUUCACACAUGCUACAAUGGCCGGUACAGAGGGUCCCGAGACCGCGAGGUGGAGGUAAUCCCAAAAAGCCGGCCUCAGUUCGGAUCGCAGGCUGCAACUCGCCUGCGUGAAGUCGGAAUCGCUAGUAACCGCCGAUCAGCUAAGCGGCGGUGAAUACGUUCCCGGGCCUUGUACACACCGCCCGUCACGUCACCUGAGUCUGCUGCACCCGAAGCCGCUGGCCUAACCGCAAGGGGGGAGGCGUCGAAGGUGUGGCCGGUAAGGGGGACGAAGUCGUAACAAGGUAACC
rnacentral:rRNA from 1 species